rfam:Stegodyphus mimosarum contig27378, whole genome shotgun sequence.
GCCUGCGUGGUCUAGUGGUCAUCACGCUCGACGCGUAACCGAGAGGUCCGUGGUUCUAUUCCCGGCGAAGGCG